UACGGAGGGUGCGAGCGUUGUCCGGAAUCACUGGGCGUAAAGGGCGCGUAGGCGGCCUGAUAAGUAGGGGGUGAAAUCCUGCGGCUUAACCGCAGGGCUGCCUUCUAAACUGUCAGGCUUGAGCACAGUAGAGGCAGGUGGAAUUCCCGGUGUAGCGGUGGAAUGCGUAGAGAUCGGGAAGAACAUCAGUGGCGAAGGCGGUUGCCUGGACCAGCACUGACACUGAGGAGCGAAAGCCAGGGGAGCAAACGGG
rnacentral:rRNA from 1 species